CGAACGCUGGCGGCAGGCUAACACAUGCAAGUCGAACGGGCUUCUUCGGAAGUCAGUGGCAGACGGGUGAGUAACACGUGGGAACGUGCCCUUCGGUUCGGAAUAACUCAGGGAAACUUGAGCUAAUACCGGAUACGCCCUUAUGGGGAAAGGUUUACUGCCGAGGGAUCGGCCCGCGUCUGAUUAGCUUGUUGGUGGGGUAACGGCCUACCAAGGCGACGAUCAGUAGCUGGUCUGAGAGGAUGAUCAGCCACACUGGGACUGAGACACGGCCCAGACUCCUACGGGAGGCAGCAGUGGGGAAUAUUGGACAAUGGGCGCAAGCCUGAUCCAGCCAUGCCGCGUGAGUGAUGAAGGCCUUAGGGUUGUAAAGCUCUUUUGUCCGGGACGAUAAUGACGGUACCGGAAGAAUAAGCCCCGGCUAACUUCGUGCCAGCAGCCGCGGUAAUACGAAGGGGGCUAGCGUUGCUCGGAAUCACUGGGCGUAAAGGGCGCGUAGGCGGCCGAUUAAGUCGGGGGUGAAAGCCUGUGGCUCAACCACAGAAUUGCCUUCGAUACUGGUUGGCUUGAGACCGGAAGAGGACAGCGGAACUGCGAGUGUAGAGGUGAAAUUCGUAGAUAUUCGCAAGAACACCAGUGGCGAAGGCGGCUGUCUGGUCCGGUUCUG
rnacentral:rRNA from 1 species